rnacentral:rRNA from 1 species
GACGAACGCUGGCGGCGUGCUUAACACAUGCAAGUCGAACGGAAAGGCCCUGCUUUUGUGGGGUGCUCGAGUGGCGAACGGGUGAGUAACACGUGAGUAACCUGCCCUUUACUGUGGGAUAACUUCAGGAAACUGGGGCUAAUACCUGAUAGGAGCUCCUGCUGCAUGGUGGGGGUUGGAAAGUUUCGGCGGGUGGGGAUGGACUCGCGGCUUAUCAGCUUGUUGGUGGGGUAGUGGCUUACCAAGGCUUUGACGGGUAGCCGGCAUGAGAGGGUGACCGGCCACAAUGGGACUGCGAUACGGCCCAGACUCCUACGGGAGGCAGCGGUGGGGAAUAUUGCACAAUGGGCGGGAGCCUGAUGAAGAAACGCCGCGUGCGGGAUGACGGCCUUCGGGUUGUAAAACGCUUUCGCCUGUGACGAAGCGUGAGUGACGGUACUGGGUAAAGAAGCACCGGCUAACUACGUG